rnacentral:sRNA from 1 species
GGUCGGGUCUUUCUUGACUGGCUGCAUGAGUCUCUUUAGAAUCAUGCACCCUUAAAAUUGGCAGGCCCGUUCUGUCAUUUUAUUUAUGUCGAAAGACAACAGUGGAGCUAGUAGA